AGUAUAGCAUAUUUAUCUAAGGUCACAUAUUAUAUUUCGAGUGUUACAAACAGCUUAUACUAUUGUAACAUGUGAUUCAAAAAUAUUUCAAAACCGUCACACAUUACAUACAAAUUAUUUAGGGAAAAUUGUUUUUUAGGCAAAAAAUGGUAAUUAUGUCUUAUUAUACUAAUCUCAUAUACUUAUGUCCCAUUAGGCUAAUUAUUUUCAAAAUGGCAAUAAUACCCUUAAUUUCAAUUAUAAAUUCAAAAUUACAAUUAACAAAA
rnacentral:lncRNA from 1 species